rnacentral:rRNA from 1 species
CCCGCUGAACUUAAGCAUAUCAGUAAGCGGAGGAAAAGAAACUAACAAGGAUUCCCUCAGUAACGGCGAGUGAAGUGGGAACAGCUCAAUUUUAAAAUCUGGGAGGUGUAUGAUCUCUCCGAAUUGUAGUUUAUAGAGGCGUUAUCUGAUGUAAUCUAAUAUGCACAAGUCCUUUGGAAUAAGGCGUCACAGAGGGUGAGAACCCCGUUUGGGCAUGUUAAUUAUAUCUCCAUGAGGCGCUCUCUGAGAGUCGAGUUGUUUGGGAAUGCAGCUCAAAAUGGGUGGUAAAUUUCAUCUAAAGCUAAAUAUUGGCAAGAGACCGAUAGCGAACAAGUACCGUGAGGGAAAGAUGAAAAGAACUUUGAAAAGAGAGUAAAAUAGUGCGUGAAAUUGUUAAAAGGGAAACGAUUGAGACCAGUAUUAUCAAUUUUGGUUCAGCAAUCGAUGUCUUGAGGGCUAUCUGUUAUAGAGUUUGUAAUGAACCUAUGCUGGUGGUCAUUGAUGGGCAUUUUGGUUGUGUAGUCCAGAGUUGAUGAGUCAACAUCAGUUUUGAUUGUGGAAUAAAGGUUAAUGGGAGGUGAUAAUGGCCUUCGGGUUAUUAUUUUAUAAACAUUAGCUGCAGCCAUAAUUGGGACUGAGGAGUCGCGAGCUAGGCUCUCCGUUGAGUAAUGAUCGUGAUCAUUAUUUAACGCGCUUAGCCCAAGGAUGUUGACGAAAUGGUCUUAAACGACCCGUCUUGAAACACGG